AAAAAAUUCCUCAAAUCCUGACCUUCAUGGACAAGAUGGAGUGGUCUGGGGAAUUGAAUUGUUUAUAGAGAAGUUGGUUACCACCAUUAUUUAUUUGAAAUCUGUGUUCCGAUAUUAUUUUAUUAAGUGGACCCUUAAGUCUCAAUAUACCUGGCGAAUUGCCAAUACGAAGCUAAAGUGACCAGGGUUAAAAUGUAAUAUGUUAAAAGAGUAUUUUAUAGAAUUUAAAUAGUUUCAUUGUUAUUGAUAUCUGUAUUAAUAUAGGGAGGUGACCAUUCUACAUUGAUCCAGUGCCUUUUUAUGGGAUUCGAAACUGACUGUGAGAUGUAUGAGAGUUUGACUUCUAGGCGGGCAAUUCUACUUUCACUUUAAACGGAUGGCAGGUGCCUGAGUGUAUCUCGACCCAUUUCCAGGCUAGCAUCAGAUGUCAUGAUGGACCUUUAAAAUCUUUCACAUGUGUGCUUUCAAGAACCAUAUACAUUAUUUUUGAAAAUUGGUUGCCAUGGUAAUAAAAUCUGAAAAUUAAAA